rnacentral:lncRNA from 1 species
GAUUUUCAGGAGAGGCCAAUCAGUGGAUAUGGCUUUUGGUGCGUAUUGGACUCCGUUCAUAGUGAUCCAAUAGCUCAAUUUCGAUGGUUCGACUAUCCUGGACCCAAUGGCACUGACGGAUCUGGAUUUGAUGCACAGUUUUCGAGAAAAAGGGAGUUUAUUGGAUUUACACAUAUAUUUAGGUGUGGUUUUUGGAAAAUUGGAGAGUGGAUUGGUUUCGUCGCGAAUCUGUGACCAAAACAGGUGAAACAAAAUCGUAGUUUUGAUGCCCCGGUCGUGUUGAAUGCAAUGAUGUAACCCGUUCGAAAAUUUGACGGACGAAGCGCUAGAUAUCACGCGUUUAUCGAGAAAGGGUGAAAUUGAUCAUUUUCGUAUUUCGC